rnacentral:rRNA from 1 species
UGAAUACGAGAUGCUACGGCGUCGAAGCAGUCUAUGUCAUACUUCCAAGAAAAGCUUGCACUGUCAUAAACAAAUAAUGCCUGUACCAUAACCGACACAGGUGGGUAGGUAGAGUAUACUAAGGGGCGCGAGAUAACUCUCUCUAAGGAACUCGGCAAAAUGACUCCGUAACUUCGGGAGAAGGAGUGCCUUAUUUAUAAGGUUGCAAUAACAAGAUCCAAGCAACUGUUUACCAAAAACACAGGUCUCCGCUAAGUCGUAAGACGAUGUAUGGGGGCUGACGCCUGCCCAGUGCCAGAAGGUUAAAGAAGUUGGUUAGCAUCCGCGAAGCUGAUAACUGAAGCCCUGGUGAACGGCGGCCGUAACAAUAACGGUCCUAAGGUAGCGAAAUUCCUUGUCGGGUAAGUUCCGACCCGCACGAAAGGCGUAAUGAUUUGGAUACUGUCUCGGAGAGGGGCUCGGUGAAAUAGACUUGUCUGUGAAGAUGCGGACUACCUGCACCAGGACAGAAAGACCCUAUGAAGCUUUACUGUAACCUGAAAUUGAAAUUGGACUUUACUUGCGCAGUAUAGGUGGGAGGCGUUGAGAAUAUUCUUGCGGGAUUAUUGGAGCCAUCAGUGAGAUACCACUCUUGUAAUGUUAGAUUUCUAACUUUGUAUCAUUAUCUGGUCAAAGAACAGUUUCAGGCGGGCAGUUUGACUGGGGCGGUCGCCUCCUAAACGGUAACGGAGGCGCACAAAGGUUUCCUCUGAACGGGUAGAAAUCGUAUCUAGAGUGUAAAGGCAUAAGGAAGCUUGACUGUGAGACCUACAAGUCGAGCAGGGACGAAAGUCGGUCUUAGUGAUCUGACGGUGCUGAGUGGAAAGGCCGUCACUCAACGGAUAAAAGUUACUCUAGGAUAACAGGCUGAUCUCCCCCAAGAGUUCACAUCGACGGGGAGGUUUGGCACCUCGAUGUCGGCUCAUCGCAUCCUGGGGCGGUAGUACGUCCCAAGGGUUGGGCUGUUCGCCCAUGAAAGCGGUACGCGAGCUGGGUUCAGAACGUCGUGAGACAGUUCGGUCCAUAUCCGGUGUAGGCGUUAGAAUAUUGAGAGGAGCCUUCUUUAGUACGAGAGGACCGAGAAGGACAUACCUCUGGUGUACCAGUUAUCGUGCCAACGGUAAACGCUGGGUAGCUAUGUGUGGAGUGGAUAACCGCUGAAAGCAUCUAAGUGGGAAGCCCACCUCAAGAUAAGUAUUCUU